GACGAACGCUGGCGGCGUGCUUAACACAUGCAAGUCGAACGGAAAGGCCCUGCUUUUGUGGGGUGCUCGAGUGGCGAACGGGUGAGUAACACGUGAGUAACCUGCCCUUGACUUUGGGAUAACUUCAGGAAACUGGGGCUAAUACCGGAUAGGAGCUCCUGCUGCAUGGUGGGGGUUGGAAAGUUUCGGCGGUUGGGGAUGGACUCGCGGCUUAUCAGCUUGUUGGUGGGGUAGUGGCUUACCAAGGCUUUGACGGGUAGCCGGCCUGAGAGGGUGACCGGCCACAUGGGAACGGGGAUACGGCCCAGACUCCUACGGGAGGCAGCAGGGGGGAAUAUUGCACAAUGGGCGGAAGCCUGAUGCGGCAACGCGGCGGGCGGGAUGACGGCCUUCGGGUUGUAAACCGCUUUCGCCUGGGACGAAGCUGGGGUGACGGUAAUGGGUAAAGAAGCACCGGCUAACUACGU
rnacentral:rRNA from 1 species